UUGUCCUACGGGAGGCAGCAGUCGAGAAUCAUUCACAAUGGGGGAAACCCUGAUGGUGCGACGCCGCGUGGGGGAAUGAAGGUCUUCGGAUUGUAAACCCCUGUCAUGUGGGAGCAAAUUAAAAAGAUAGUACCACAAGAGGAAGAGACGGCUAACCCUGUGCCAGCGGCCGCGGUGAUACAGAGGUCUCAAGCGUUGUUCGGAAUCACUGGGCGUAAAGCGUGCGUAGGCUGUUUCGUAAGUCGUGUGUGAAAGGCGCGGGCUCAACACGCGGACGGCACAUGCUACUGCGAGACUAGAGUCAU
rnacentral:rRNA from 1 species